rnacentral:rRNA from 1 species
AACGAACGCUGGCGGCGUGCUUAACACAUGCAAGUCGAACGCGAAAGGGACUUCGGUCCUGAGUAAGUGGCGCACGGGUGAGUAACGCGUAGAUAACCUGUCUUCAUGUCUGGAAUAAUACGCCGAAAGGGGUACUAAUACCGGAUAUUCUUGCUUUUCAUAAGUUAUGCAAGCAAAGGUGGCCUCUGCAUAUGCUACUGCAUGAAGAGGGGUCUGCGUACCAUUAGCUAGUAGGUGGGGUAAUGGCCUACCUAGGCGACGAUGGUUAGCGGGUCUGAGAGGAUGAUCCGCCACACUGGCACUGGAACACGGGCCAGACUCCUACGGGAGGCAGCAGUGAGGAAUAUUGCGCAAUGGGGGAAACCCUGACGCAGCGACGCCGCGUGAGUGAGGAAAGGCCUUCGGGUCGUAAAGCUCUGUCAAGAGGAAAGAAGUGUACAAUGGCUAAUACCUGUUGUAUUUGACGGUACCUCUAAAGGAAGCACCGGCUAACUCCGUGCCAGCAGCUGC